UAGAACUAAUAAAACUAUGUUCCCUAUAGCCCCCUUUCCAGAAGUAAUUUAGUCAAUUUUAUUAAGUGAAAUUUAUGUGUACCCUAUUUAAUUGAUCGAAUUUCUGUCACUUUCCUUGGAAUACUCAUCCACAGAACUAAUAAACCUGACUAAUAACAGGGCACUUCAUUAUUAUAAAACCAUUUCUCUUUAUUAUGAUUUUUAUUGUUCCUCUUUCCAUUAACAAUAUAGAAAGACCUUAAAUAAUUCUUCUUAUUCUAAUAAGUCAUGCUGAUGUCUCAUUUUACAAAGGCCAGAAAUCAGAGUCCACUCUGACUUCGUAGUAUAUUAGCCAUUAAAAACAAGAAUGCAUUUGAUGUAGCUUUGUGAACACUUCUUUGUGUCACUCAGAGAUACUGGCAAUCAAAUCUGUAGGUGUCCAUCAUACUUGAAGGUAUGCUGACUAACAUUUGUGGAGUCUUUCCUUUGUGCAGGAUAAUAAUGGGUUGUGUGCUGCUAAACCAAUAUGAAACCCAAACAGCAAGGGAUAUCCAAUCUAAUUGACCUGUCUGUCACAUAGAUACAAGUCUAAAAUACAAUAACUGCCCAAUAAGGGAAGUAGACACAGCUGUACUAUCUGUAUUCUCUACUGCUAAAGAGAAGUUACUCGGCAAGGGAUCAUUUUGCUACUCCCAAAGGACUAAAGGGGGAUUUGAGCUGUUUCAAAAACAAACACUGGAAUCAAGACAGGAAAAUAGAAGGAAAGCAUGUUGGUGGGGGGAGCAAUCCUUAGAGCAUCCUUUCUUGGGUGGUAGUUUCUUCUUCAGUAGGCAAAACAGGAGGGUGAUUUUAUUGUGUGAUGCUAUGUUCAGUGAAUGAAGCAGCCAUAGAAAGCCUUUGAGUAGAGCCUUGCAUUGAGAAACUCACAUAUGCCUUUAUAUAAAUGAUCUCUAAUAUUGUAUACACUCUUUAUUCAGGUUAGGAUUUCCUAACCUUUAUUGAUGUUUGGAACCAGAAAAUCUCCCUCUGAGGAAGAUCUAACAGGAUUUUUGCAUCUUCCCAUUUCCUUUCUGCCCCAACUUGGGACAAGCUAAAACCAACCUGAAGAGUCUGCCAAAUGUUCUCUGAGGUGUGAAAUAGCCUCCUGCUGAGCCCCUCCAUUCUCAUUCUUUAAACUCUCAAAGAAUCCAUCCCCACAGAUCUUGCUCCUUCCAUAGGUGGACCAUCAGGAAAGUCCCUAACUUGAAUCUCUCAUUUUCCCUGUAUGGUCAGUUAUCUUUGUCAGUGGUCUCAGAGGGUAUUGCCUACCAGGUGGCUGGACACCAAUCUCUGCAGAAUUCUAGAAUGUCCAGGGAAAGCCACUGAGAAAAACUCACAAAUAUGCCUUUUCCUCUGCAGAAAACCUCUCUAGGUUCAUCACUUGUCAACAUUGUACUCCUGUUUAGAUUGAAAACGAAUUUCAAUUGUAAAUCCUGAUGGUGGGGGAGGCUCAGCACCAGGAAGGCAGCUAAGGCUUUCUGGGUGGUAAAUAAUUCAUCUUCCUUACUUUGGAGAGUCAGAAACAGUCAAGUCAUGAUGCUAAAUCCACAAGGUAAUAUUGCAUACCUGGUCACCGGCAGUAAGAAUGGAAAGGUGCACUAAAUCCCAAAGGCCUUCCCACAGCCUAGUAGAAGCUAUAAUAAGAAUGCUAUUUACAAACUUAAUUUCCCCCAGUUUGGUAUCAUGGGCAAGGCAGGUCGUUCUGGGAUAGUCUCAUAAAAGCCAGCUAGGUAGAAGACGUCCUUCAUACACGUUUUAGAUGUUGUCAGACUUGUGUCACUUGUGCAUGUGGUUCAUUUUUUUCAAAUGAAAUAUUUUGACCUCUCUAAAAUUUGCUUUUCCCCAGGAACCAGAAGGUGAGCAUGGAAAAGGGAACCAACCAUCUGUCCAAGCGUAGUCUGUAGGAAACACAGCAUUUGAUUGGCUGCUUGGCGACAGAUAUUUCUCCUUGGAGUUUCUGUUUUCACAUUUGGCUUUUUGUUGCAUAAUCCAUUUCAGUCCAAAUCAUCCUUCUAUCGCUUUUAAGCUUGUCUAGGGUAUCAUGUGAUUCUGUAAACUCCACAGUUUCACUGACAGCUUGCUUUUGAUGUUCAUUAUCAGGUUUUUAGGUAACUAGUAAUCUUAGAAUGCCUUUUUUUUUUUUUUUUGGAAUGUCUAUUUUUACUCUUUGAAAAGAGGUUCUUUUCUCAUCAGAAUACAUGCCCAUUUUCCCUAAUAAUGAGUUAUCUCCUCCACACAUGACAAGGUCCUUAUGAGUGCUAAUAUAUGUAUACUCCUGCCUUAGUCUCCAAAGGGUGCUAUAAUAAAGUCAGAAGAGGGAGAGAGUGGUUUAAAUAAGCACAAUUUAUCUCUUACAGAUCUGGACAUUGACAAGUCCAAGAUCAAUGUAAUGAGAGAGCCUCAUCUCUUGAUAACUCACAUUUUCAUCCUUAGACACCUCUCUCUCUCUCUCUCUCUCUCUCUCUCUCCUCACACAGUGGAAGGGGUAAAAACCACCCUUGGUGAUCUAAUUCCCUCCCAGGGACCCACCUCCACAAACAUCACCUAGUUAUUAGAAUGUCAACAUACUCUUGGGAAGAUCAAAACAUUCAGUCUACUGUAGCUCAGUCUAAGCAAGUUCUGCGGCUUGUCUGUUGCUAGUGACAACCUUACCUCAUAAGUAAGCUUAGAAACAUAUAUGUUUUGUGACCAACUUAUCUGAACAGGUUACUCUAUAUGAUACAACAAUCAAGGCAAACAUUUCUCUUAGCCAGGCUUUUCAUUUUUGUGUGUAGCUCUACUGGGAGUAAAUGUAGAAAAAAAAGAUAACAAAAUUCUCCAUACAAUCAGGGCAAUCUGCUAUCAAGCAAUUCAAGCUCUAUGUGAUAAUUAAGUUCUUUGUGUAGAGGAUUUUUGCCCCCUCCCGGGACAUCUAUCUGGAUACACCAACAAAAAAAAAUCUAAAUUCUCACCUGGAAACUAUCUAAGUGUAGUACAAAUACAAUCUAUCAGAAAAAGAAAUAAAAUAGAAUCAAAUGCAUUGUAGUCAUUUGAGUGGC
rnacentral:lncRNA from 1 species